GGGUGCAGCCGAGCGGUGUGGAGCGGAGAGAAUACUCGAAGGGCUCUCCUGAUACUAACAGUUUUACGAUUUAAAACUUCGCCAGAAUUUCGAGAACAGCCUGACCAACAUGGAGAAACCCCGUUUCUACUAAAAAUACACAACUGGGCUGGGGUGGUGGCUCAUGCCUAUAAUACCAGCACUUUGGGAGGCUGAGGCAGGCAGUUAACCUGAGGUUGGGAGUUCAAGACCAACAUGGAGAAACCCCGUCUCUCCUAAAAAUAUAAAAGUAGCCGGGCAUGGUGGUGCAUACCUGUAAUCCCAGCUACUCGGGAGGUUGAGGCAAGAGAAUCACUUGAACUCAGGAGGCGGAGGUUGCAGUGAGCCAAGAUUGCACCAUUGCCCUCCAGGCUGAGCAACAAGAGUGAAACUCCGUCUCAAAAAAAUAUCCCUAAACAACACAUUAAUUUUAUAUCCUUUUGAAACUUUAUGUAAGUGGAAAGUUUAUAUAAGAAUGUGUGCAUGUGUUUAUUUUUUUCCUUGUGCUACUUGCAUUUUUUUUUUAAGCUCAACAUUCUUGAGUUUCAUCUGUGUUUAGAAUGACAGUAUCCUGUUGUACAGCAAUACCUUAAUUUAUUCAUUCUCCUGUUCGUGGCCAUUGUGGCUGUUAUUUUGCUAUUACACAGUGCUACCAUGAAUAUUUUUAUUCAUGUUUUUAAAUGUACAGGUGCAGUUUCUCUAGGAUAUGUGCCUAAGAGUGCAACUGCUGAGUUAUAGGAAAUGCACAUCUUCAGUUUUACUAGGUAAUGCCAAUUCCAAAAGUGAUUGUACAGAUUUAUAGUCUUGUCAUUAGACUAUAAGAAUUCAAGUUACAUUUUAUUUUUGUCAUUUAUUCAUUCCGGAAAUAUUUAUUGGACACUAUAGCAGUAAAUAGAAAGGUAAAAUGUCCUGCUUUCAGGGAGUUUAUAUUUUAGUGGAGAAAAAUAGCCAAAAUAAAUAAUAUAGCAAAAUGGUACCUGUUUUAUGUGAAAAAAAUAAAGCAAGCCUAGUAGUACUUGUUAUUGCAUUGCUGAUAGAGCCAUAUGGGGGGAUUUGAGGCUAAGGGGAUGGGAUAUAACCAAGAAGUCCUGUGUUUCAGGUGGUGAUUGACAUGAACAGAGAUAUAGGUAUGAGAUUGGUCCUGAUGCUUUCAAGCAGAUAAUUGAAGCUGUAUUGAAGCUGUGAGUGUUGGGGUGGGGAUGGGGGUUAGGAAUCUUGCCAGGAGCAUUUUCCCAGGCCCCUCUCUUCACUCCUCAUCCAGUAGCUCUAAGGCUAAAGAAUGAGUGAGGAAGCUGGUAAUGGGUGGUAUUAUUUUGAGCAUUUGGAGUUCUGGGGCCCCCUGUUGGCUCUUGCCUACAGAGGUUUAAAGGACCAGGAGAGGAGGGAAGACUUGUCUGAAACAUAUGGAAUGGUGGAGUUCUCUUGAUGCAGGAAUACUUGGAAUUCUAGUGCUUGUUUGAUUCUUGAAGUGGAAUUCUAGUGCUUGUUUGAUUCUUGAAGUUGUAAAACUGAAGGUUGGGUAAUGGAUGGAAUUAUUCUGAGCACUUGGAGCUUUAGGGCUUUCUCUUGACUCCUACCAAUAGAGUCCUCUGGGAGGAGUGGUUUUUGCUAUAGUAUGUGGAACCCCCUUUGUCAGUUUUUGUAGUGUGGUAGAUGUGAAAUAGUAUCUUGCUGACACUACAAUAGUAUCUUGUUGCAUAUACUUGAUUUCACUCUAAAAAUGUAAAAUCUGAUCAAUUAAAUGUCAGACUUUUAAUUUUU
rnacentral:sRNA from 1 species